GUAGGUGGCAAGCGUUGUCCGGAAUUAUUGGGCGUAAAGCGCGCGCAGGUGGUUCUUUAAGUCUGAUGUGAAAGCCCCCGGGCUCAACCGGGGAGGGUCAUUGGAAACUGGGGAACUUGAGUGCAGGAGAGGAAAGUGGAAUUCCACGUGUAGCGGUGAAAUGCGUAGAUAUGUGGAGGAACACCAGUGGCGAAGGCGACUUUCUGGCCUGUAACUGACACUGAGGCGCGAAAGCGUGGGGAGCAAACAGGAUUAGAUACCCUGGUAGUCCACGCCGUAAACGAUGUGUGCUAAGUGUUGGGGGGUUUCCGCCCCUCAGUGCUGCAGCUAACGCAUUAAGCACUCCGCCUGGGGAGUACGGUCGCAAAGACUG
rnacentral:rRNA from 1 species